rnacentral:lncRNA from 1 species
GAACUGACCUUUCCUUCCCCUUAUAAUUGUCCUAAGACUCUUCCCCUCUCCCUCAUUUCUCUCAUCUCCCUCACCUCUCAUCAAACCUUAGCCGUCCAAAAUCCCUCACUGGCGGCUAAGCCCCAAUCACCCCUACAAUCCCGCCUCCUUCUCAUCCCAUAUCUAUUCGUUAUUUCUUUCAGAAACCUCGAAAAUCUCUUAAUCUUUAAAUCUAGGAAAUGCUAAAACCUAGAUCCACCCCUUUUCGAUUUUUUUUCCUCAAAUCUCGGCUUGUUUGAGUGUUACAGGUUGACGUUAGUUUUGUCUCGUUUCUAGAUCGUCGGUUGCCGGUCUAUUCACCAUUGACCAACCAAAACUAUUGAGAGUCCUUUGAUGUUGACCGGAUUAUGGCUAAAAUUGUCGCAUACAACAUUAGUUAAACCCUCAAGUGUAAGCUAGUUCUUGUGUGGCGAUGCCAACUAUAGUCCGGGAUUCUUUUCUCCCCGGUCAACAAUGUUUCACAUGGUAAUCCUAUACUUCUUAGAGUUGCUAAUUCUAUGUCUUAGUUUGAUAAUUAUUAGUUUGACAUCAUGCUUAAGUUAAUUGAGAAUAAUUUAGCUUUUUGAAUAAUUAGUUGAUUUAGUUUUGCUUGAAGUUUAAUCGAUUAAUUAGGUUAUUGUUUUAAUUACGCAUGUGCUUAAUUGAUAGGUCAACUAGUUUGACGAUUGUGAUUAAUUUAUACUUGAUGGCUUAAUUUUAAUAGAUUAAUUAGUUGUUUAGUAAUAUCUUGUUUGGACGGUUGCAAAAUAAUGUUUGUUUUAAUUAUUUUAUUAAAAUUAGUUGUAUCGUAUUUUUAUCCAUAAUUGCGGAACAAUGAAAGCUCUCAUUUUUUGAAACAACUAAUUUGGUGAGGUGAGAUUGUUUCCUAUUUUUCUUUCCAAUUACGCUCUAACUUAUUACUCCAUAAUUUUAUUUACCAUUUUUUUUAUUUUAACUCCAAAUCUUCAAACUAUAACCAACUCUAUCUUCUUUCGUUUUUUCUUUUUCGAAAUAUUCUGCCGCUUCCAACUCCAACAUAAAAAAGUAUAGGUUUGCUUUCUUUUUGUUUUGUUUUCUCCUAAUGUGAUUUUAACACCAGUUCUUUGUUAAUUGCUAAUAAGUGAGUUAUUCAGCACCCAUUUUUGUGUCCCCAAGAGUUAUUUUUAUUUUUAUUUGAUAUUACAACGAUAAAAUACUAUUUUAAUCACUAAUCAAACCGAGAAAAGAAGAAAAUUUUGUAUAUUUAACACCGCAUUAACAUACUAACAAGCAUCCUCGUAGAAUCUGCCGAUACUUAUCUUUCAAUAGUUCUUAAAUUAUUUUUAUGCGUAAUUCUUGAUAAAUUUAAAAUUUAAAUAAUUAAGGGUAUCUAAUAAUCCUAUCAUAUACAGUACAACACGAAACAAUCAAAUCAAACAAUAAAAUUUUAUUUAACAAUAAUAAACAAUAUAAUUAAUUUAAAUAUUAUAUUCAUAAAACGAUAUAAUACAAUACAAUAUAUAAAACGAUGGGUAACAACCAUUCAAACAAGAUGUAAAUGUUGAUUAUGUGGGAUAAAAGAGGAUAGUAGAUGAGGCAAAGGCACUAAUUGAUAUAAUUUAAAAUUUAGGGGUAAAUGAGAUAGAAAGUUAGAGAAUCUUUCUUAUAGCUGAUGGAAAGUUCUAGAAAAGCUUGGAAGAGGUUAAAAUUCAGUAAAGGUCAAAAGGGUUAAUUUCAGAAGCAAGAGGGGAUGGAAAAAUUGGAAAAUAGGCUAAAAUACAAUUGUACAUUUUUUCAGUUGAAAAAGAUACCUUUUCCCCUAAAUUUCAGCUGACAGACUCUCUCACAUAUUCCCUGAUUUUUCUGCAUAAAAACACGUUCACAUUCUCAUUUUAUGGACACCUUUUGAUCUCUGCAGAAAUCGUAUACAUUCCCUCUCUCUAGAACUCACACGACAAAAAGAACAAGAUUUCAGUAGAAAAGUAAAAGUUUUUUUGUAAUUCCAACAAAAAAAGCAAGUUGAAGGAAAAUUAUUUUUAUUUUUAAUUCUCUGAAAGCUCACUACAAUUCUCACAAAUCUCCACAUAUAAAAUAAGUUAUUAAUAUUUCUAUUUAUAAUAGUAUGAAACAUAUUCUAAUUUAAAACAGGAAAAUAUAUUCUCAUAUUUAUUCUAACUGCAAAUCUUAUUUAGACAUUAAUUAAAUACUAAAUAAUUAAGGUUUCUUAUUACAAUUUUAAAAUAAUUUUCCAAUAUUCCCCCGUAAUUCAAAGUUGUAUACGUUUGACUUGUUCGUUGUGCAAUUAUGUUGGAUCACUUCUCUCCAACUUUCACUUUUGAUGAAGCAUGUCUUCAUCCCUCCUUAAUUAAUGCACUUUGUCACCACUAUCUGAUUUUGUUAAAGUACCUGUCUUCAACUCCAGUUGAUGCACUUUGUCACCAACCCAAUUUUGUUAAAACACAUGUCUCCAACUCACAUUGAUGCACUUUUUCACCGACUUUUCAUGCACUUUUUCACCAACAGUUGAUGCACUUUAUCACCAAUACCCAAUUUGUUAAAGCACAUGUCUUCAACUCACGUUGAUGCACUUUGUCACCAACACCUAAUUUUGUUGAAGCACAUGUCUCUAACUCACAUUGAUCACUUUGUUACCAAUACCUAAUUUUGUUGAAGUACAUGUCUCCAACUCACAUUGAUGCGCUUUGUCACCAACCGUUGAUGCACUUUGUCCCCAACACUCAAUUUUUGUUGAAGCAUAUGUCUCCAACUUUUUUAAACCUAUCCAACUUUUAGAGAAGAGUUUCUUCAUCUUGUGUCGUAUUUGUUUGUACCUCUUUAAGUUUGUUUUUUUCUUGAAUCUGUCACGAAAAUUUUAAUAGAAUAACCUAAUUUUAUCGACAACUAUCUAUGAUUUUGCCGAUAUAUUUGUGGCCAGGCCGGCGACACAAUUUGGCUAGCGUCACCCGCUGGCAGCUGAAGCUACUUGAUUCUCUCCAAGAUCGUAUGAGUUCUUAUACCAAUAUGAAGGAAAACUAUAAUAUUAUAAAUCUUUGGAAGUUCUUUACAAUUCUUACAAAUCUUUACACAUAAAAUAAGCUAUUAAUAUCCCUAUUUAUAAUAGCAUGAAACAUAUUUCAAUUAGAAACAUAAAAGAAUAUUCCUAUAUUUCUUUCUAACUGCAAAUCAUAUUUAGACAUAAAUUAAAUAAAUCAGAUUCUAAAUAAUUUAAGUUUCUUACUACAAUUUUAAAUUAGUUUUCCAACAUAAGUUUUCAGCUAUUGAUUUUGGUGUUAAUCUUCAGCUAUUUUUCUGGAUUGAGCUAUUUCUUCAUCUGUUUGAAGUUAAUUGAGAUGUUGAUACCCCUGUUGUUCAUAGAUUUCUUUCUUUCUUUUGAUUCUUGGCAGCUAGGUACGCUCUAAGUCCAUUGUAUAACGUUAUUUGGUUUUGCUUUUUAUGGCUGAAUAUGGAGUUGUUCGAUUUAAUGGACAUGUGUUAAAUUCAUGGAUUCAUGAAGACUUUAUCUAUUGCUUCUUUGCUUAUCUGUUUGGUGUUUUCAAAUGCAUAUGAAUCCAUUUAUGUUGGAAACCGUAUUUCGUUAUUUUAAUUACUGUUUGACUAAUUAGUUAUGCAAUUUAUAUGAGAGCUUAUUGAUCACGCCCAAUUAUGCCUUAUAAAAAGAAUUAAAUGGUCAUUGCAAAUAUAAUCUGAUUUACAAGUCCGGAGUCGAAUUUCACAGAGAACUAAGGUUUAGCUAGAGAUGUUCAGUAUCACAAAGAAGAUAAGCUCAAAUAAUUUCUAACUUAUAGAUAUUAAGAUUCUUGUGUUUACCUAAUUAACUAACAAAUUAAAAUAGUAAAUUAUCAACUAAAAAUACUAAGGGUUAGAGACAAGAUUCAGGAGGUCAAGAGUUAUGAUUUCCCCUAUUGUCGAAAUCUUUCCCGUUACGUUUUCUAUGAAUUCGCCUAAGUAUUCUCUACCGAUCAUGAGUGCUCUGACUUGUGACGAUUCGGCCGGUCGUUUUUGGAACUUACGCGGCGACCCCUCAUUAACUGCUUCCCUUAAGUUCGUUUCUGCUGUUUUGAUUUGUCGGGACGUUAGGUGUUGGGUCUCGGAGAGUUUUGGGACACUUAGUCCCUAAAUAAGAGCUUAAGUGUUGGAAAGUGGUCCAAAGUCAGAACAGUGUGAAGACAACCUUGAAAUGGAAAUCCGAUGGUUCCGUUAGCUCCAUUAGGUGAUUUCAGGGUUGGGAGCAUGUUCGGAAUGUAUUUUGGAAGUCCGUAGCUCAUUUAGGCUUGAAAUGUCGAAGUAUGAAUUUUUGAAUUUCCGGUCCGAUAGUGAGUCUUUUAUCCGAGGGUCGAAUAUAAUUUCGAAAGUUGCAGUAGCUUCGUCAUGUCAGUUGGGGUGUGUGUGCAAAAUUACCGGUCAUUCGGACGUUUUUUGGUUAGGUUUUUGAUCGAAAGCGUGUUUUGAUGAAAUUGGAAAGUGAAGAAAAAGGAUGGUUCUAUGCGUAUGUGUAUUGAUUAUCGCCAGUUGAACAAGGUUAUCGUGAAGAACCAUUAUCCUUUGCCUCGUAUUGAUGAUUUGUUUGACCAUCUUUAGGGUGCACAAGUGUUUCUAAGAUUGACUUGCGCUUGGGUUACCAUCAGUUGAAGAUUCGGGAGCCAGAUAUCCCGAAGACUGACUUCAGGACUCGAUAUGGCCAUUACGAGUUCCUUGUUAUGUCACUCGGGCUGACCAAUGCCCCAACAACCUUUAUGCAUUUGUUGCACAGUUUGUUCAGGCCAUAUCUCGACUCGUUCGUUAUUUUUUUAUUGAUGAUAUUCUUAUGUAUUCCUAGAGUGGGGAAGAUCAUGAGCAGCACCUGAGGACCGUGCUUCAGCUCCCGAGGGAGAAGAAGUUAUAUGGGAAGUUCUUAAAAUAUGAGUUUUGGUUGGAUUCAUUGGCAUUAUCAGGCCACGUGAUUUCAAGCGAGGGCAUUCGGGUAGAUUCGAGGAAGAUAAAUGUCGUGCAGAGUUGGCCCAGGCCCUCCUCAACUACAAAGAUUUGCAGUUUUCUUGGCUUGGUAGGUUAUUACCGUCGUUUUGUAGAGGGGUUUUCAUCAAUUGCAGCCCCUAUGACUAGAUUGACCCAGAAGGUUCCCCAUUUCAGUGGAUAGAGGAGUGUGAGGCGAGCUUUGAGAAGCUCAAGACAACUUUGACUACAGCCCGUAUUUUGAUAUUGCCUACCAGUUCAGGAUCUUAUAAUGUCUAUUGUGAUGCCUCGAGAGUUGGCCUUAGAGCGGUGUUGAUGCAGGACGGUAGGGUGCUUGCCUACAUGUCCAGACAGUUGAAGAUACAUGAGAAGAACUACCCUAUCCACGACCUUGAGUUAGCUGCUAUUGUUCAUGCCUUGAAGAUCUGGCAUCAUUAUUUAUACGGUGUCCCUUGCGAGAUUUAUAUAGAUCAUAGGAGUUUGUAGCAUUUGUUCAAGAAGAAGAAUCUAAAUUUGCACCAGAGGAGGUGGUUAGAGUUGCUAAUACAUAAUGAUAUCACUAUUCUAUAUCCCCAUCGUUAUUUGUACGGUGUGCCUUGUGAGAUCUAUACUGACCAUUGGAGUUUGCAGCACUUGUUCAAGCAAAAGGAUCUAAGUUUGCGCCAGAAGAGGUGGUUAGAGUUGCUGAAAGAUUAUGAUAUUACUAUUCUGUAUCACCCGGGCAAGGCCAAUAUGGUAGCGGAUGCCUUGAGUCGCCGGGUGGAGAGUUUGGGGAGUUUAGCUUAUUUACCAGCUUCAGAGAGGCCUAUGGUGAUGGAUGUUCAGGCCUUAGCCAGUCCGUUUGUAAGAUUGGAUCUUUCGGAGCCUAGUCGGGUUCUAGCAUGUGUGAUUUCUCGAUCUUCAUUGUUCGAUCAUAUCAUGGAGCGGCAAUAUGAUGACUCUCAUUUACUUCUCCUCAGGGACACGGUCCAGCACGACGAUGCCAGAGAGGUGACCAUUGGAGACGACGGGGUAUUGAGGAUGCAGUGCCAUAUUUGUGUGCCCAAUAUUGAUAGGCUUCGGGAGUUGAUUUUAGCAGAGGCUCAUAGUUCGUGGUAUUCCAUACAUUUAGGUGUUGCGAAGAUGUAUCAAGACUUGAGACAACACUAUCGGUGGAGGCGGAUGAAGAAGGAUAUAGUUGGAUAUGUAGCUAGAUGCCUCAACUGUCAGCAGGAAGUCAGUUCGCGAUAUUCCAUCCGUCCGGGUGCCGCGAAGAUGUUUCAGGACUUGAGACAGCACUAUUGGUGGAGGCGAAUGAAGAAGUUAUAGUUGGAUAUGUAGCUAGAUGCCUCAACUGUAAGCAGGUGAAAUAUGAGCACUAGAGACCAGGUCGAUUGCUUCAGCAAAUAGAGAUUCUGGAGUGGAAAUGGGAGAGGAUCACCAUGGAUUUUGUAGUUGGACUCCCUCGGACUGCGAAGAAGUUUGAUGCCAUUUGGGUGAUUGUGGACCGGUUGACCAAGUCUGGUCAUUUUAUCCCUGUGUGUACUACUUAUUCAUCGAAGCGGGUGGUGGAGAUUUAUAUCCAGGAGAUUGUUCGUCUGCAUGGUAUUCCAGUUUCUAUUAUUUCUUACAGAGGUACUCAGUUCACAUCACAUGUUCUGGAGAGCCGUUCAGCAGGAGUUGGGUACUCGAGAGGAUCUGAGCACAACAUUUCACCCCCAGACGGACGGACAGCCCGAGCGCACUAUACAGAUUCUUGGAAAUAUGCUUCGUGCGUGUGUGAUUGAGUUUGGAGGGUCUUGUGAUCAGUUCUUGCCAUUGGAAGAGCUUGCUUACAACAACAGUUAUCAGUCCAACAUUCGGAUGGCGCUGUAUGAGGCUUUAUAUGGUAGAAGGUGCAGGUUUCCGAUGGGUUAGUUUGAGCUGGGUGAGGCCAGGCUAUUGGGCAAAGAGUUAGUUUAGGUAUGUUCUCCAUGCUCGUUCGAGGACGAAUAAAUGUUCAAGUGCAGGAGGAUGUGACGAUCUGGCCGGUCGUUUUUGGAAUUUAUGCCCUGAUCCCCCAUUAACUGCUUCCCCUAAGUUCAUUUCUGCUAUUUGGUUUGCCAGGACGUUUAGUGUUGGGUCUCAGAGAGUUUUGGGACACUUAGUCCCUAAAUGAGAGCUUAAGUAUUGGAAAGUGGUCCGUAGUCGGAAUAGUGUAAAGAUGACCUCGGAAUGUAAAUCUGAUGGUCCGGUUAGCUCCGUUAGGUGAUUUUUGGGUUGGGAGCGUGUUCGGAAUAUAUUUUGGAAGUCCAUAGCUCAUUUAGGCUGGAAAUGCCGAAGUAUGAAUUUUGAAGUUUCGGUCCGAUAGUGAGUCUUUGAUCCGAAGGUCGGAGUAAAAUUUCGGAAGUUGCAGUAGCUUCAUCAUGUCAGUUGGGAUGUGUGUGCAAAAUUUCAGGUCACUCGGACGUGUUUUGGUUAGGUUUUUGAUCAAAAGAGCAUUUUGAUGAAAUUUGAAGUUCUUAGGCUCAAAUCCUUGAUUUAUUCGAGUUUCCGACAUUGUUUCAGGUGGUUUAAGGAUUGGUACAAGUUUGAAUAGGGUAUUAGGUGUUAUUUGUGCUUUUGGUUGAGGUCUCGGGGAUCUCGGGGAUCUCGGGAUGAUUUCGGAUGGUUGACGCGAAGAUCGGAGAAAUGUUGCACUAGUUGAAGUUUCUCUUCUAAUAUUUUCGCUUCUACGGCUUGGGAACCGCAGAAGCGGCCUUGUCAUCAUAGAAGUGGAGCCGCAUGAGAGGCUAAAAGUCCACAGAAGCGGUUGUGCCCGUUCCUUCUGAGACCGCAGAAGCGAUCUGGUACCCGCAUAAGCGGUUAUUAGUCCGCAGAAGCGGAAUUUUUGGAUUUUUGUGAAAGUCGCAGAAUCGACUCAGUUUUUGCAUAAGCAAGAACGCAUAAGCGGCCCCUUGUUCGCAGAAGCGGAAACCACUGUUCAGAAAUUGAGAUUUUGAGGGUUAGUUUUCAAAAAGUUAAAAAAAUCAAAUUGAGCUCGGGAGAGGGCGAUUUUGAGAGGGGUUUGAAGAGAAGAUCCUUGGUUUUAAUCCUUUUUAGUUAUAUUCCGUCAAUAUAUAGUUAAAUCCAUCUUUUAAAUUCGAAUUUGAGGAUCAAAUCGGGGAACUUUCUAGGCCAAAAUUUUGAGUUUUGAGCAGGUUUUUGGCAUCCGAUUUGGGAGCUUUUUAUAUUGUUAAGCUCGUGAGAGUACGAGGGUUCUGGACUACAGGACGGUAUCCUGAGAGAUCCUCAUUUGGUAUUUCGGUAUUGAGCUGUACAUUCCUGUUUUUACUCUGUUCAUCACCUAUUUAUUGUUGCCUUGUAAUUUUGUCUUAUUUCACUGUUGGUUCACACUAUUUUCAUCUGACUUCAUACUAUACAUUCUUAUUAUAUUGCUUAGUAUCAGUAGGGCCCUGACCUUCCUCGUCACUAGCCGACCGAGGUUAGGCUUGGCACUCACUGAGUAACGGUGUGGUGUACUCAUGCCUCUUCGGCACAUGUUUUUCAAGUCCAGACUCAGGUACUUCAUCUCAGGUGCACUACCCUUGAGGCUAGGAGAGCUACAGAGACUAUGAGGUACUUCUGCAGCGUUCUCAGACCCAAGAUUCUCUUUCUUUACUCUAUCUGUAGUAUUUGGACUUCUUCCGUACUUUUGCUUUAGAUAUUUUGGAAUUAGGGCCAUGUAUUGCUUUUCGUUAGCUUGUGUUCCCGUGAGUUUUCGGGUUUGAGGAUGAUAUUGUAGACUUUCAAAUUUUGAGUUGUAUAUGCCGAGUGGCCUUUAUAUACAAGUUUCUUUAGUUGUUCAGUUCUUAAUUAAUUAUUCCACAAGCUAUGU